AGCUUGCUCCCUGGGUGACGAGCGGCGGACGGGUGAGUAAUGUCUGGGAAACUGCCUGAUGGAGGGGGAUAACUACUGGAAACGGUAGCUAAUACCGCAUAACGUCGCAAGACCAAAGAGGGGGACCUUCGGGCCUCUUGCCAUCAGAUGUGCCCAGAUGGGAUUAGCUAGUAGGUGGGGUAAUGGCUCACCUAGGCGACGAUCCCUAGCUGGUCUGAGAGGAUGACCAGCCACACUGGAACUGAGACACGGUCCAGACUCCUACGGGAGGCAGCAGUGGGGAAUGUUGCACAAUGGGCGCAAGCCUGAUGCAGCCAUGCCGCGUGUGUGAAGAAGGCCUUCGGGUUGUAAAGCACUUUCAGCGAGGAGGAAGGUGGUGAACUUAAUACGUUCAUCAAUUGACGUUACUCGCAGAAGAAGCACCGGCUAACUCCGUGCCAGCAGCCGCGGUAAUACGGAGGGUGCAAGCGUUAAUCGGAACUACUGGGCGUAAAGCGCACGCAGGCGGUUUGUUAAGUCAGAUGUGAAAUCCCCGGGCUCAACCUGGGAACUGCAUUUGAAACUGGCAAGCUAGAGUCUCGUAGAGGGGGGUAGAAUUCCAGGUGUAGCGGUGAAAUGCGUAGAGAUCUGGAGGAAUACCGGUGGCGAAGGCGGCCCCCUGGACGAAGACCGACGCUCAGGUGCGAAAGC
rnacentral:rRNA from 1 species